GGAAAAGCGAAGAAGAGGAUAAGUAGUCAGCGGGAAAGGAAUCUCCAGAGAACCGGGGGAGCUGGAAACCGGUGGUUCCGCCGCUUGAUGAACUCACCUCUGAGCGCCAGCUUGAACGCGUAAGCUAGUAGAGUUGGCCGGGUGGAAUCGUCCACUCGUUACUAAAACGAGCAGCAUGGGAAGUUGCUCAUGAGGUGGUCGAAUGACCAUGAAGAAGGGUGGUACCGCGGAAAGGAAACCUUUUCGCCCCUUUG
rnacentral:ncRNA from 1 species